CAUACCUAUUCGAAGGGAUAGGGUCGGUUUGGCCGGAUUUCACACAGGUGUUGCAUGGCUGUCGUCAGCUCGUGUCGUGAGAUGUUGGGUUAAGUCCCGCAACGAGCGCAACCCUCAUCCUUAGUUACCAUCAGGUUAUGCUGGGGACUUUAAGGAAACUGCCAGUGAUAAACUGGAGGAAGGUGGGGAUGAUGUCAAGUCAUCAUGGCCCUUAUGGAGUGGGCUACACACGUGCUACAAUGGUGAUUACAAUGGGCUGCAAGGUCGCAAGGCUGAGCUAAUCCUAAAAAAUCAUCUCAGUUCGGAUUGUUCUCUGCAACUCGAGAGCAUGAAGUUGGAAUCGCUAGUAAUCGUGGAUCAGCAUGCCACGGUGAAUACGCUCUCGGGUCUUGUACACACUGCCCGUCACGCCAUGGAAUUGGUUUCACUCGAAGCU
rnacentral:rRNA from 1 species